AUUGAACGCUGGCGGCAUGCUUUACACACGCAAGUCGAACGGCAGCACGGACUUCGGUCUGGUGGCGAGUGGCGAACGGGUGAGUAAUACAUCGGAACGUGCCCAGUUGUGGGGGAUAACUACUCGAAAGAGUAGCUAAUACCGCAUGAGAACUGAGGUUGAAAGCAGGGGAUCGUAAGACCUUGCGCAACUGGAGCGGCCGAUGGCGGAGUAGGUAGUUGGUGGGAUAAAAGCUUACCAAGCCGACGAUCUGUAGCUGGUCUGAGAGGACGAGCGGCCAAACUGGGACUGGGACACGGCCCAGACUCCUACAGGAGGCAGCAGUGGGGAAUUUUGGACAAUGGGCGAAAGCCUGAUCCAGCAAUGCCGCGUGCAGGAUGAAGGCCUUCGGGUUGUAACUGCUUUUGUACGGAACGAAAAGCUUCGGGCUAAUACCCUGGAGUCAUGACGGUACCGUAAGAAUAAGCACCGGCUAACUACGUGCCAGCCGCCGCAGUAACAC
rnacentral:rRNA from 1 species